rnacentral:lncRNA from 1 species
GCCAUUUUCAGCUUACAGAUCUAGCUCUGAUACCAUGUAAAGAUAAAAGAGUUGUUUGGUUGCACAGAAAAUGAAUGAGAAAACAGAGAGAGAAUAUUAUAUUUAUCUAAAGCUCAAAUGAGCUUAAUUACAAGCAUUUAUACAUAAGGCUGUAUGGAAUAUUCUACACUCUGCAUGUGAGUAAUGUGUUUGUUUAAGCUAACGAUCAUAACAUAUUUAGCUAACUGGACUGCCACAUCAGCACUAGUAACAAAUUCAC